rnacentral:tRNA from 1 species
GGAUCGGUGGCUGAGUGGCUGAAAGCGUUGGUUUGCUAAACCAAUCUAUAUUAAUAAUGUAGCAUGGGUUCGAAUCCCAUCCUGUCCU